rnacentral:misc_RNA from 1 species
UUUCCGUAGGUGAACCUGCGGAAGGAUCAUUAAUGAGUUGUCAUGGGGUUCGAUGCUGGCAGCCAAUUUUUGGAUGCAUGUGCUUGCCCUAACAAUCAUCUUCCAAACACCUGUGCACAUUUUUGAGGGAGUCUUGAGUUGGUUGCCGCUCUUGGGUGAUUUUCUCACGUCCCCUUAAAUCAUUAUACGCUAUUAACAAUGUUGAACGUGCUCUGUGCCGCAAGGCUAUUAAUAUAAUACAACUUUUAACAACGGAUCUCUUGGCUCUC